AGGGUAGUAGCUCAAUUGGUAGAGUAGUGGUCUCCAAAACCAUUGGUUGUGGGUUCGAGUCCCGCCUGCCCUGCCA
rnacentral:tRNA from 1 species